rnacentral:rRNA from 1 species
CCUACGGGAGGCAGCAGUGGGGAAUAUUGGACAAUGGGAGAAAGCCUGAUCCAGCAAUGCCGCGUGUGUGAAGAAGGUCUUCGGAUUGUAAAGCACUUUUGGCCGGGACGAUGAUGACGGUACCUGCAGAAUAAGCCCCGGCUAACUUCGUGCCAGCAGCCGCGGUAAU